rnacentral:rRNA from 12 species
AGGUGAAUCCCUUGGCGCUAAAUUUAUUGGGCGGAAAUUUUCGAUAUUCUUAGGGUCAACUUUCUCUAAGGUUCCCGUUUAGGAAACUUUUCUGGUUUAAAUAUUUGGUUCAUUUAAAUUAGGUGUACAUAUGAACGCGUAAGGCUUUAUAUCAACUUACUUGGCGAAUUGAAACAUCUUAGUAGCUUAAGGAAAACUUAUCAAAAGAGAAUCCCGUAACUAGUGGCGAGCGAACAUGGGUUCAGUUUUUUAAAGCAAUAUAUCAAAAUCAAAUCCAAAGAGGGUCUAAGUCCCGUAGUUAUUUUCUUUAAAAAAACCUUGAUUUUAAGUAAAAUGAAAGAAGCUUUUUUUGUUUGAAAACUGGGGAACCAUCCUCAAAAUCAAUAAAUACAGUUUAGCGACCUAUAGUGAAUAGUACCGUGAGGGAAAGGUUGAAAAGAGCCUUCUUAAGGCAGUGAAAAGGUCAAAUGUUUGACGCAGAUUCGUGAAACCUUUGUUUUUUAUCAGUCUUUCUAAAGAAUUACCUUUUGUAUAAUGGUUCAGCGAGUUUUUUGUAAGAGCAAGCCUAAAUU